AGCAGCCGCGGUAAUUCCAGCUCCAAUAGCGUAUAUUAAAGUUGCUGCAGUUAAAAAGCUCGUAGUUGAAUUUCGGGACCAUCAUGUCGGUCGUGCCUCGGUACGUACUGGCAUUGUUGAUUUCUACCUUCUGACGAACCAUGAUGUCAUUAAUUUGGUGUCUUGGGGAAUCAGGACCGUUACUUUGAAAAAUUAGAGUGUUUAAAGCAGGCUCACGCUUGAAUACAUUAGCAUGGAAUAACGAAAUAGGACGUUUGAUUCUAUUUUGUUGGUUUCUAGGAUCGACGUAAUGAUUAAUAGGGAUAGUUGGGGGCAUUAGUAUUCAAUUGUCAGAGGUGAAAUUCUUGGAUUUUAUUGAAGA
rnacentral:rRNA from 1 species